AUUGAACGCUGGCGGCAUGCCUUACACAUGCAAGUCGAACGGUAACAGGUCUUCGGAUGCUGACGAGUGGCGAACGGGUGAGUAAUACAUCGGAACGUGCCCGAUCGUGGGGGAUAAAGGAGCGAAAGCUUUGCUAAUAACGCAUACGAUCAACGGAUGAAAGCAGGGGGGUGCAAGGCGUUGCGCGGAUGGAGCGGCGGAUGGAAGGUUAGGUAGUUGGUGGGAUAAAAGCUUACCAAGCGGACGAUCUGUAACUGAUCUGAGAGGACGACCAGCCACACUGGGACUGAGACACGGCCCAGACUCCUACAGGAGGCAGCAGUGGGGAAUUUUGAACAAUGGGCGAAAGCCUGAUCCAGCCAUGCCGCGUGCAGGAUGAAGGCCUUCGGCUUGUAAACUGCUUUUGUACGGAACGAAAAGACUCUUUCUAAUAAAGAAGGUCCAUGACGGUACCGUAAGAAUAAGCACCGGCUAACUACGUG
rnacentral:rRNA from 1 species